UACAGAGGCCUCGAGCGUUAGGCGGAAUCACUGGGCUUAAAGCGUGUGUAGGCGGACUUCUAAGUACCUUGUGAAAUCCCACAGCUUAACUGUGGAACUGCUUGGUAUACUGGUUGUCUUGAGGUACCUAGGGGCGAGCGGAACAAGUGGUGGAGCGGUGAAAUGCGUAGAUAUCACUUGGAACGCCAACGGUGAAAACAGCUCGCUGGGGGGUAUCCUGACGCUGAGACACGAAAGCCAGGGGAGCAAACGGGGAUUAAAGCAAAUCCUUGUACGUCCAAGACCAAGC
rnacentral:rRNA from 1 species